rnacentral:rRNA from 1 species
AUACGGAGGGUGCAAGCGUUACUCGGAAUCACUGGGCGUAAAGCGCGCGCAGGCGGCUUGAUAAGUUGGAUGUGAAAGCCUACGGCUCAACCGUAGAACUGCAUCCAAAACUGUCAAGCUAGAGUCUGGGAGGGGAAGAUGGAAUUAGUUGUGUAGGGGUAAGAUCCGUAGAGAUAACUAGGAAUACCAAAAGCGAAGGCGAUCUUCUGGAACAGUACUGACGCUGAGGCGCGAAAGCGUGGGGAGCAAACAGGAUUAGAAACCCUAGUAGUCC